UGAUUGGUCGAUUCAACCUCCGGGCAACUGUUUUAAAUUCUGGACGAUUUCGAGGAGGAACUUUUGAAGUCAUAGUCGCUCAAACAUCGCCGAUUAAUUGUUUACCUUCCGAGGUGGAAAGCGUUAGUGAGCGAUGCUCAACGUGGGCGUGAAGGCGCUCCUUAGCUGGGUCAACAGUAUAAAGUCUUCCCCCGGAGACGUCCGCGUUGAAGACCUCCAAGAUGGGGACAUUUUACUGGGUGUUAUCUACAAGCUGAAAAAGGAGGCCAAACCUUCUUUCAACACGAUUGAAGAGCGCUUUAGAGUCAUCACACAAUUUGUUGAAA